GAUGAACGCUGGCGGCGUGCCUAAUACAUGCAAGUCGAGCGAACAGACGAGGAGCUUGCUCCUCUGACGUUAGCGGCGGACGGGUGAGUAACACGUGGAUAACCUACCUAUAAGACUGGGAUAACUUCGGGAAACCGGAGCUAAUACCGGAUAAUAUAUUGAACCGCAUGGUUCAAUAGUGAAAGACGGUUUUGCUGUCACUUAUAGAUGGAUCCGCGCCGCAUUAGCUAGUUGGUAAGGUAACGGCUUACCAAGGCAACGAUGCGUAGCCGACCGGAGAGGGUGAUCGUCCACACUGGAACUGAAACACGGUCCAGACUCCUGCGGGAGGCAGCAGUAGGGAAUCUCCCGCAAUGGGCGAAAGCCUGACGGAGCAACGCCGCGUGAGUGAUGAAGGUCUUCGGAUCGUAAAACUCUGUUAUUAGGGAAGAACAAAUGUGUAAGUAACUAUGCACGUCUUGACGGUACCUAAUCAGAAAGCCACGGCUAACUACGUG
rnacentral:rRNA from 1 species